AGCUUCCGGUUCCCUUACCCGUCAGAUCUGCACCCUGACGGGAGGGGUUACACAAUGAAGAAAAGCAAAGCGGAAACCGGCUUCUGUACUUUUGUUGCAGACGGGCUGGUGUCCAACAAAA
rnacentral:snoRNA from 1 species